CGGACGGGUGAGUAACGCGUAGGUAUCUAUCCUCGGGUGGGGGACAACCACGGGAAACUGUGGCUAAUACCGCAUGAUGAUCCCAAUCGGGAGGUUGGGGCCCAAAGGCGCAAGUCGCCUGGGGAGGAGCCUGCGUCCGAUUAGCUUGUUGGUGGGGUAAAGGCCUACCAAGGCUCCGAUCGGUAGCUGGUCUGAGAGGAUGAUCAGCCACACUGGGACUGAGACACGGCCCAGACUCCUACGGGAGGCAGCAGUGGGGAAUAUUGGACAAUGGGCGAAAGCCUGAUCCAGCAAUGCCGCGUGGGUGAAGAAGGUCUUCGGAUUGUAAAGCCCUUUCGGCGGGGACGAUGACGACGGCACCCGCAGAAGAAGCCCCGGCUAACUUCGUGC
rnacentral:rRNA from 1 species